AGAAUUGAUAUUUUGGGGUCAUUCCCAAUGGCAAUAGCAAAGAAAAAGUGUAUAGUUGUUAUUGAGUACUUUACUAAGUGGAUAGAAGCUAAAGCACUAGUAACAAUCACAUAAAAGCAGAUAGAAAACUUCAUUAGAAAUCUGUUAUAUAUCGCUAUGGCAUCCCAAACCUCAUUAUUACCGACAAUGGUACACAAUUGCAAGAAAAAUUUAAGGACUUCUACUCUAGUUUACAUAUAUCAUUGGCUCAAAUUUUGGUAAAAAUGCCACAAACUAAUGGACAAGCAAGGGCAGCCAACAAGAAAAUCCUUCAAGGGUUAAAGAAGAAAGUUGGUGAUGCGAAAGGAGCAUGGGUGGAUGAAUUGUCAGGUAUAUUGUGGGCCUUAAGAACCACAUCCCACACUGGGAUAGGUGAAGUAUAGCUUGGUAUAAUCGUUAGUAAUACAGAAUUAUUGAAUACGUUGUGAGUGAUUUUUAGAAAUUCUAUGUUAUACUAUUGCAAGCAAGGGAAGCUCUGUUUAACUUGAUGCUCGACAUGGAGGUAGUAAUCCCAGUAGAAAUUGGACUCUAAACACAUCGAAUUAUAACAAUCUUUCUUCUGAGCAACAAUAUUUCGUUUUUUUCUUCUGUUGCUGUUCCUUGGAAGGAAUAGGAGACUUCUGAUUUAUUAGUUUACUCCUCAAAGCACUUAGACUUUGAUUAACCGAAUUUUUGAUGGUUGAGUCUGAAGGCAGGGACAGUUGAGGCAGAAAUGAUGGAAGUAGGAGAAAAAAACAGACAUCUCAGAUGUAGGCGGAGUUGAGGCAAGCGUGCAAACCUUCGCAUAAACCUUCGCAAGGUUUGCAUCUCAGAAAUGGUGGAAGUAGGAACCUCAGGAUUAACGAAGUACUUUCAUUAUCUCCAGCGUGCAAACCUUCACCUUCGCAUAAAUCCUCUGCAUGAUAAAAAAAACAAAAAUCACUAUCAAAUUAUAACAAACAAGAAGAUAAUAAAAGUAAUACACACUAGAGCUACUACUCCAAGACCAAUUAAAAUUUUAACGAAGAACGCCAUCAAUAAUAACAUAGCCCGAUGAAACACGUAAUGGAUGAAUCUUGCCCUAGAUUCCUUUGGUUAUUCAUCUUUAAUGCGAGUGCUUCACUUGAUUAUAAUAGUUGGUUUGCCUAGAAUAUAUAAAAACUUGCAAAAGUAAAUACAACAAAUUAGAAAGUUCGAAAUAACACCUCCAACACUAGAGUGUGUAUCAAAGCCUGCAGGAGAUUCAAUAUCCAUCAUAUCUCCGCUUGAGGCAACUUCACCAAUGAAAGGAAGAGGAUGAAUAUCCCCUUUUCUCUUUGUGCGAACUUCCAAAUUGGGUCCUUCGCUUUUUUCAGAGGGUUCUUGAGUAACAUCAACAGUUUUAACCCCUUAAACGGUCUCAGUGGCUGACGAAGAUUUAGUCACCUUUGCAAUUUUCUGCCCUUUUUUAGCUCUUGGAACCGUCGCAGUAACAUCGCUGCUUUCUCCUUUCUAAACUUGAUAUUCCCAUUUACAUUCAGGACCAAAAGCAUAAUCAGGUAACCAAUUUCUGGGUUUUUUGCACAAUCCCAAAAGAAUCUCUGCUGUCACAUUAUUAUCCCUGUAUAGCCAAGCCUCAUUACAUGGCUUUACCUCAUCGAGUUGAGUUUCGCCAAGAGAAUUGAAGUCCACAUCAUCCCAACCAUUAGGACUUUUCUCCAUCAAGUAGAACUGCCAAACAUUUCUCAGGCUGUGAACUUGUUAAUAUCUAAUUAGUUGUCUUGCUGCAGCCUUUUCAAUUGAGCCUCUUCUGUUGCAUUCAAAAAUCGAGGGUCCCAAGUGCAUUUGUUAGUGGAAGGUUUAACCCAACCCAACCCAAAGGGAAAGGGAACUCCCCACAAGGUUGCUCAAUUUUAAUAAACUUAUCCCUCGCCAAACGAAAUUGGUGGUAGUACUAUCCACGAUAGCUUUUCCUCCUCUUCAAGUGGUGAACAUCACAAACCCCCUUUGAUUAUUCUCACUCGCAGGAGACACUAUGUAUAUUCUCCUAAUCACAUUUACAAAGGGUUCUUCUCCAUGCAAUUGAUAAUCUAGGGAAAAAGCCAUUAACGUCCACCAACCCAUUAAUUGAUCAAGAAUCAUUCCAUAUGAACUCAAAAUUUCAACCAAAAAAAUGGGUGUAAAGGCAAAUGGAAUCUUGUUUCUAUCACAUAUAAAGACAAAAGAAACCAGUUGUUUUCCCUUCUUUGAUUAUUCAUCUCACUCAAUUGGUGUUUACCCUUUACAGCCUCGAAUCUAUACCUAAAGUUAUCAAAGCAGGUGAUUCCCCUACAUUCGAGCAAUUUCCACAUUUGCUCCACUGAUGCAAAACAUUCAAAUUCCUCACUUUCAGUGGGAACACUAAACAAUCUAGGGUCCAUGUUUCACUGAUAUGACAAGAAAUGAAAGAAAUUCAAACCUACCAAAGAAAAUUGCACCAGAAGCAUAGAUGAACAAGAUUUCAGAAAACUCAGAAACAAACGAUGGAUUAAAUCACAAACCCUUACUCCCCAUUUAUAAGUUCAAAC
rnacentral:lncRNA from 1 species